rnacentral:rRNA from 1 species
CGGAUGAGAGGAGCUUGCUCCUGGAUUCAGCGGCGGACGGGUGAGUAAUGCCUAGGAAUCUGCCUGGUAGUGGGGGACAACGUUUCGAAAGGAACGCUAAUACCGCAUACGUCCUACGGGAGAAAGCAGGGGACCUUCGGGCCUUGCGCUAUCAGAUGAGCCUAGGUCGGAUUAGCUAGUUGGUGAGGUAAUGGCUCACCAAGGCGACGAUCCGUAACUGGUCUGAGAGGAUGAUCAGUCACACUGGAACUGAGACACGGUCCAGACUCCUACGGGAGGCAGCAGUGGGGAAUAUUGGACAAUGGGCGAAAGCCUGAUCCAGCCAUGCCGCGUGUGUGAAGAAGGUCUUCGGAUUGUAAAGCACUUUAAGUUGGGAGGAAGGGUUGUAGAUUAAUACUCUGCAAUUUUGACGUUACCGACAGAAUAAGCACCGGCUAACUCUGUGCCAGCAGCCGCGGUAAUACAGAGGGUGCAAGCGUUAAUCGGAAUUACUGGGCGUAAAGCGCGCGUAGGUGGUUUGUUAAGUUGGAUGUGAAAUCCCCGGGC